AGGCCCAGGAACAGAAAGUUGAGAGCCAUCUCUUCAAGCAGGAGGAAUCUGAGACAAACUUGAAUUGGGACAAAGCUGUGAACUCUCAAAGCCCAUCCCCAGUUUUGUGCUUCCUGUAGCAAGGCCAUACCUCCUAAACCUCCCCAAACAGUUCCAGGAACUGGGGACAAAGUGCUUGAAUACUUGGAGCCCAUGGGGACAUUCAUUCAAGCCAGCACAUAUGGUGAGGAAUGACUUACCAGCCACGUACCGACCAGGCUCUGAGUAUCUGUUUAUUCUUGGAGGGACAGUCUACAUGAUGGCAUUGGUGCAAAUUCCAAGGAGGUCCAGCCCUUCCUUUUGUGAUUUUUUACGAAGUUGAAAUGGAAUGUCCUGUUCAGGGGAGUUAACCAAACUGGCUGCCAUUUUUGAGCACUCAAUUAAAAAAA